rnacentral:rRNA from 1 species
UCAGACUGCACGAGAUAAGUUGGGCAGUCAAAAGGGAAAGAGCCCAGACCACCGGCUAAGGUCCCAAAGUGCGUGUUAAGUGGAAAAGGAUGUGGGAAUUCGAAGACAACUAGGAUGUUGGCUCAGAAGCAGCCAUACAUUCAAAGAGUGCGUAACAGCUCACUAGUCGAGAGUUCCUGCGCCGAAAAUGUCCGGGGCUGAAACACGACACCGAAGCCGUGGACUCGCAAUGCGAGUGGUAGAGGAGCAUUCUUAAGACCGACGAAGCUGUACCGGAAGGAGCAGUGGAGGGAUAAGAAGAGAGAAUGCCGGAAUGAGUAGCGAGAGAAAGGUGGGAAUCCUUUCGGCCGAAUAUCUAAGGUUUCCAGAGUAAAGCUGAUCUGCUCUGGGUAAGUCGGGGCCUAAGCACAGGUCGCAAGACGUAAGCGAUGGAUAACAGGUUUAGAUUCCUGUACCACGCAUUAUCAGAACUGUAGGGACGCAUGUGGAAAGCACGAGCCGGGAAUGGAAAGACCGGUACAAGCGGGGUAGGAGUACAAUAGGCAAAUCCGUUGUAUGAUCCGAAGACGUGAUGUGGAGCGAAAUAAAGUAGUGAAGCGUGUGAGCCAUGUGCCGAGAAAAGCUGCUAUUGUGUAAUGCGUGCCCGUACCGUAAACCGACACAGGUGGAUGAGGAGAGAAUCCUAAGGCCGACGGAAGAAGCAUUGUUAAGGAAUUCGGCAAAAUGACCCCGUAACUUCGGGAGAAGGGGUGCCUGCGAGAGCAGGCCGCAGAGAAUAGGCUCAAGCAACUGUUUAGCAAAAACACAGGUCUAUGCGAAACCGAAAGGUGAAGUAUAUGGGCUGACGCCUGCCCGGUGCUGGAAGGUUAAGAGGAGAGGUUAGCGAAAGCGAAGCUUUGAAUUUAAGCCCCAGUAAACGGCGGCCGUAACUAUAACGGUCCUAAGGUAGCGAAAUUCCUUGUCGGGUAAGUUCCGACCCGCACGAAAGGCGUAAUGAUUUGAGCACUGUCUCGACAAUGCAUCCGGUGAAAUUGAAGUACCAGUGAAGAUGCUGGUUACCCGCGCCAGGACGGAAAGACCCCAUGGAGCUUUACUCCAGUUUGAUACUGGGAUUCGGUACUGCAUGUACAGGAUAGGUGGGAGACGAAGAAGGAUGGACGCCAGUCUGUCCGGAGUCGCUGUUGGGAUACCACCCCUGUAGUACUGGGUUUCUAACCAGUUGCCAUGAACUGGCAAUGGGACAAUGUCAGGCGGGGAGUUUGACUGGGGCGGUCGCCUCCGAAAGGGUAUCGGAGGCGCUCAAAGGUUCCCUCAGAAUGGUUGGAAACCAUUUGAAGAGUGCAAAGGCAGAAGGGAGCUUGACUGCGACACCGACGGGUGGAGCAGGUACGAAAGUAGGACUUAGUGAUCCGGUGGUAUAAAGUGGGAUUGCCAUCGCUCAACGGAUAAAAGCUACCCUGGGGAUAACAGGCUUAUCACUCCCAAGAGUUCACAUCGACGGAGUGGUUUGGCACCUCGAUGUCGGCUCAUCGCAUCCUGGGGCUGUAGCAGGUCCCAAGGGUUGGGCUGUUCGCCCAUUAAAGCGGUACGCGAGCUGGGUUCAGAACGUCGUGAGACAGUUCGGUCCCUAUCCGGCGCGGGCGGAGGAUAUUUGAGAGGAGCUGUCCUUAGUACGAGAGGACCGGGAUGGACGGACCACUGGUGUAUCUGUUGUCGACCAACGGCAUGGCAGAGUAGCCAAGUCUGGAAGGGAUAAACGCUGAAGGCAUCUAAGCGUGAAGCCCCCCUCAAGAUGAGAUAUCCCUCCUUCGGGAGUAAGACCCCUUGAAGACUACAAGGUAGAUAGGGCAGAGGUGGAAGCAUGGCAACAUGUGGAGCUGACUGUUACUAAUAGGUCGAGGGCUUAAUCU